rnacentral:snRNA from 1 species
GUUCACUUCGUCCUCUCU